rnacentral:rRNA from 1 species
GUAGGUGGCAAGCGUUGUCCGGAAUUAUUGGGCGUAAAGCGCGCGCAGGCGGUCCUUUAAGUCUGAUGUGAAAGCCCACGGCUCAACCGUGGAGGGUCAUUGGAAACUGGGGGACUUGAGUACAGGAGAGGAAAGUGGAAUUCCAUGUGUAGCGGUGAAAUGCGUAGAGAUGUGGAGGAACACCAGUGGCGAAGGCGACUUUCUGGUCUGUAACUGACGCUGAGGCGCGAAAGCGUGGGGAGCAAACAGGAUUAGAUACCCUGGUAGUCCACGCCGUAAACGAUGAGUGCUAAGUGUCAGGGGGUUUCCGCCCCUUAGUGCUGCAGCUAACGCAUUAAGCACUCCGCCUGGGGAGUACGGCCGCAAGGCUG